UCUCGGAUAGUAUAGUGGUCAGUAUCCCCGCCUGUCACGCGGGAGACCCGGGUUCAAUUCCCGGUCCGAGAG
rfam:Lichtheimia corymbifera JMRC:FST:9682, FST 9682, WGS project CBTN01000000 data, contig: SCAF00033